CGUAACUUUGGGAUAAGGGGGACCUGAGCUGUCGUGCACCCGUGCGGUGUGGUGGCGGUGAGGGGCGCAGAGUCCAGGGGGAAACGACUGUUUACCAAAAACACAGGUCCGUGCGAAGUCGUAAGACGAUGUAUACGGACUGACUCCUGCCCGGUGCUGGAAGGUUAAGGGGAACUGUGAGUGUAUGCGUAGCGGUGAACUUAAGCCCCAGUAAACGGCGGUGGUAACUAUAACCAUCCUAAGGUAGCGAAAUUCCUUGUCAGAUCGGAAG
rnacentral:rRNA from 1 species